rnacentral:rRNA from 1 species
UGUUAUUAAAAAAUGAGGAGUCGGACCUGCCCAGUGAAUCGCUUUAACGGCCGCGGUACUCUGACCGUGCAAAGGUAGCAUAAUCAUUUGCCUUAUAAUUGAAGGCUUGUAUGAAUGGUUUGACGAGAGCAACACUGUCUCCUUUUUAUUUUCUAAAAUUUGACCCCAGGUGAAGAGGCCUGCAUACUACCAAAGGACAAGAAGACCCUAUCGAGCUUUAAGGAUGAACAGAAAAUCUAUAUGUAAUACAGAUAAAUAGCUAGCAUAUCCUUUUGGUUGGGGCGACCGAGGAACAAAUAAAGCUUCCUCUUUCUGAAAGACUUAGUAAGUUUAGAUCCAGUUAUACUGAUUAAAAAAAUUAGCUACCGUAGGGAUAACAGCAUAAUCUCUCUUGAGAGACCUAAUCGAAAGAGGGGGUUGUGACCUCGAUGUUGGACUAAGGCAUCCUAAAGGUGCAGAAGCCU